GCACUCCUGAGGAGUCCCAAAAUAGGACGAAACGGCCGUGUAGUGC
rfam:Schistosoma mattheei strain Denwood, Zambia genome assembly, scaffold: SMTD_scaffold0003507